CCUGCUGGAUGCCGCCGGCGGCGGCCUCGCCGUCGCGCUCUCGGCCCACCUGCGCCCCUGUGCCUGCCAGCCGCGCGGGCUGCUGGCCUCGACGCUGUGCGCGCCCGUGCCCAGGUCGGCCUCACCAAGCGCUCGCAGGCACCGUGCAGCCCAGAGAGAGAUUUGAGUGGUGCCUGGCGCGGAUGAAUUUCCCCCUGGUGAAAGGAUAAGGUAGGAGGGAAAGGAUACGGUGGGAGAGGAUAAAGUUUUUAUGGUACCC
rnacentral:lncRNA from 1 species